rnacentral:lncRNA from 1 species
GCCGUCUUCCCAUUCGCAUCCUCUGUAUCGAUCAUCUUCAUCAUCAUUUUUCCUAGCUGAAAAGUGGAAGAUUCCCCCAUUGAAGUCUUCCCUCAACUCUAAAGAAUAAUCCAGAGUGAAGUCCCUAACACAGAAGAAAGAAUUUGGCAGGUGUUAGAUUGAAUGAACACAAAACAAUAUUAUCACGACAGUAAUGGAUGUCAAACAUUUAAAAAAUAACUGAAGAGUAACAUUUGGCUAAUGUUAUCCUUGUUGACGUUUUAGAAAAUUAGUAGCAAAUUAACUUGUUAAAAAAGUAAAAUAUCUUCAAUUACACUUACUUUUAGUGAAAGUUCAAGUAAACUUUCAUCGUCAUGCCUAUUGAUAUCAUUUUUUGAAAAUUAAUUGAGUAUAAUUGUCAAAAGUCUUUUCAUGCAUGAUCUUGUAGUUACAUUUUAAGAGUUCUAAUGUUGGAGUUGGACAUAAUUUUAAGCAGCAUAUUAGUGUACUCCUAUCUGUAUCCCAUAUUCAAAAAUCUACGAGACAACGAACCUGACUCUUCAAUUUGCACCCGUGUAUGAUAAGGAAGCCCCAGUCCACGUACCAUAAGUGAGUCCCCCCUCUCUACAUGUUAUUGUAUCAGUCAAGUGUCCUUGAUAGUAGAAAAUACCCGGCGUUACUUUUUCAUUCAUCUUUAGGUGGGCAAAUUGCUGAGUUACUAAUGGUGCUAUAGCAUUGUUACCGAAUAUAUCAGUGUAUUCAUAAAUGGUUCACCGCUAGAGUUUAUCAUUAAUGGAUGUCUAACCUUUCAAAAAUAAGUAAAGAAAAAUAACAUUUGGCUAGUGUUAUCCUUGUCAACAUUUAAAAAAUAACUAGCAAGUUUAUAUGUUAGAAUUGCAAACUUUCUUAGUUACACUUUUAGUGAAAGGUAAAUUGUCCUUCAUCACCCCAUAUUUCUGGAAAAUUCAUAUUCACGGAUCUUCUCAGGCAUGAUAUUUGUAGUUACAUUCCACAGGUUCUAUUUUACGGAGUUGGACAUAACUUUAAGCAGUAUCAUUGCUUGCUUCUAUCUGUAUCCUGAAUUCUAAGAUCUAGGAAAAAGCGAAUCUGACUGUAAGAUUCUUAUUUUGGUUUCCGAUACUGCAUCUGAAUCCACAUAUAGGCUAGUCAUUAUCCCCCCUCUUCUGCACAGUAUUCUACCACUCCUUUAAGUGUCAGUGAUAGUAGAUAAUUACCCAGUGUGGCCACUAUAACCCGGCUUUAUCAUUCAUCUUUAGCAGGCCAAAAUACUUUCUAAGAAAAUGGCGCUAUAGCAUUGUUGCCAAAUGUGUCUGUAUUAUUGUAAGUGGUUUGUAACUUUAGCUGAAUGUUAGGAUCAUGAACUGUUUGCUUUUGCUGCAUUUUCUAAUAUUUUUGGCUAGACUACUAUUCUUUCAGUUGUUUCUUGUUAGAAAAGGUGCUUAUAGGUAUAGCAUGACCAAAUGAGAAAGCCACAAAAUUUCCUCUCUUCCUUUUUCUCGGUAAAUAUAGAUGGAUAGGUUACUUUUGUUAUUCAAAUGACUGCAAAAUUAUUGGGUUUAGUAGCUGGUAGAAUAGACACUGAUCUGCCAUGCAUAAAAUAUAUGAACAUUGGCACUAUAAAAGUACAGCAUAUUGGCAUUCCAUGGUAUAGCGAUAUCUAAUGGACCUAGAAGGGGAAGAAACGGUGAGCUAGAAGUUGAAGAUGAUGGAUGAUUGAAGAAAGUACAAUCAUCCCCUCUCUUGCAGUAGUUUUUGUGUUGUUGAUUUAAGAACAUUUCAAGAUACAAACAUGAUGGAAAGUACUAAAUAGCUAGGGAUGUAAGAGGGUCGCAAAAGAAUAACUAAGGCCAAAAAUGUGGUGGAUUAAGUAAUUUAUCAGUCUUUUGAUGGUUUGCCUUUCAGCUGUGUUGGCGACUGUUGUCAGUUUGUCAUACUUUUCACAUAGUUAGAUUCUCUUUCUCCCCUUUGUAUAGAUAGAAAAGCAUUGAGUGCAGAAAAUAGGGAUGUCUUGGAACUGAAGGUGACAUGUGUAUUCACAGCUGCAACAUCGUAGAACAUAUAAUAUUGUUUAGGCUUUAGAUGCAUAUGACAAACAUCUGAGGCAGAUAAGCAGUAUCUGUCUUGUUGGUUGGAAAAGUGAUUUUUGAACUUGAUCUAGAUGAUUUUUAUGUCAUACAUUUGGCUUUAUUAUUGCUUUUCCAUUCUGCUGUCCAGAAAUUUUUCUUUGUGUUUAUAAUUUUCUUUGCUGAAGCCCACUAUUUAAUCAUAUUUUGCACUUAAAGGCUCAGCAUAUCUUGGGGCCUUUAGACACUUUUUGCCCUUGACUACACUGCUUUCUUAGCUUUUCACAUCUUAAUUCGUUUGUACUAACGCAAACAGCUGCAUAGUAUUGUUGAAACAUGCUGUUAGAAAAUGAAAAUAGUUAUUAAAAUGAUAAGAUACUUCGAUAAAGUGCUUUUGGUGCUCCUAAAGUGGAUAUCAUAUGCUUGUUUAGUUUGUGGAUUGACCUUUGCUAUAUCCACACUUGGAUACCUUGCUUACUCUUACGUUUGAAGAAUUAGGUCCGUGCAACUUGUGUGUCGUUCAUAUUCAUCCUUCAAUAUCACCUCACAAUUUGCCUUGAUCUUCUAUCACUUCCUUCCAGGCUUUUCCUUAUGUUACAGCGGUUUCCAGUAGAAUCAAAAGGAAGACGCAAAAAGCUACAGGAGGUACAUUAUUAGUAUCUUUGUUAGUAUUUUUCUUUUUGGAUGGUUGUUUCUUCUUAUUUUAGGUAUUUUGACUGCUCGUACAUUUGGGCUUCUGCAGGUUGGCUAUGUCACAACAAUAUGUUUUUCAUGCUUCCUCAUUAGAUGCGUUAUGGUAAGUCUGUAUUCUUUGUGAUAUAAGCAAUCUUUAACUGACUUAUUGCUAGGUGAGAGCCCCGUAAGUAGUUCCACCAUGUUUGUCGGGUGUGAAUGUAAUCUAUGUUUUGCUUUAGAUGGUUUCUUUUUCUCUAGUACCUUCUUGAUACAACAAAUUAGUCUUAGUUGAUAUGCGUGCAAGCUGGCCCGAGCACCACCUUUUAUAAUAAAGUCUUGGCUGAUGCAUUAGCUUUGUUUAUAAAGGGCAUGAAGCCAAUGUGGUUCUUCUAUAUGGCUUAAUAGUAAGUGUUUCUUUGCCACAGAUGUGCUUCAAUGCAUUUAAUAAAGCUGCAGAUCUUGAUGUUUUGGAUCAUCCAAUUUUGAAUUUGAUAUAUUACCUGGUAAGCUCCAUAUCAUUGAACUUUUGGUAGUACUUCUUUAGGUGUGCAUAUUGGUCGUUGUGCCAUAAUGAAAAAGAGAACUAUUGACAGUCAGUAUUCUGUAUUUAAUAAUUGCCAAAUCAUGACCAACUUGGAUAACUCACAUGAUAUAUCAGCUUGUGGCAUCUUACGACCUGUUUUUAUGUGCCAACUUUUCUAUUGUCUUUUGGUUUGGGGAUAGGAGUUUCUUGCUUAUGCCAUGAAUUCAGAUUUCUCUCUUGGUUGACAUUUUUGGUUACAUUGAAAAUUGGCUUCAAUCUUAAGAUUGUGGUGAAAUAUUUGAGACAGAAGGAGCGGAAAUCCUGUUCUGAAAUUAAAGCAUGGUUAUUUCUUUCAUUUGGUUUUGUGUCCUAGCUAAACCUUGGUUUGAUCUAAAUAUCAAAUUGUGAGUGCAUUCUUGGAUAUGGUGCUUUUUACUUUGAGGUUGCCGGGUAGAAAGUGCAUGAAAGGUGGAGUAAUACUUGUUUAUAUGUUUGAGAUUAAGCAAACUUCUUAAACUCUUUAUGUUUGAGAUUAAGCAAACUUCUUAAACUCUUUGCAGUUGGUGGAGAUACUGCCUUCUUCACUUGUCCUUUUUAUUUUGAGGAAGUUGCCUCCAAAGCGAGGGAUCACACAGUACCACCCUAUUCGCUAAUAUGCUAGAGGGUAGUUAAUGAUGGAAAUCAACCCCCGGGAUCAGGUAUUGAUACUUUUCUUACCUGGAUAUGAUUGAAAGCAAGAAAUACGAGAGGAGUGAUCAUGUAAAUGGAGUGUGGUUUGUGAUGGACAAUGAAAUGUCUGUUUGUCCCCACUUGGCAGAUUGUGUAGUUCUGUUUGGUACUAUUAGUUAAAGAAGGAAUUGUGAAGCAUGUUAUGAUUUUUGGUAUAUUAUUCGUCUUUGUAUGUGUCAGAUUUCAAUUGAUUCAUUUUCCCCCCUGAAAUUUCAUGGUUGUUUCCCAGCUCGGGUUCUGUAAUCUUUUGGCUCAAUCUUAGAUAGUCGUUGGUUUUACGUGAUCACAAAUACCCUCAUUCUCCACCCUGGUUGCUUGCUGUCCUAACGUUCCGAUCCACAGCCGCCAUUGCGUCUCCCAAGUUUGGAUACAUUGGGUUGGUCUAUUACUUACAAGGUGUUGGCUACUAUCAUAGCAUGAUUAAUACAGGAUCUUUACCAUCAUAAUAAGAAAAUAUGAUUUUGUAUGAUUCAUAGUAGACGAUGGUUUAUUGAUUCAUCAAACGAGCAAAGAUUUCAUGGAACAUACCUGAAACUGAAAUGCUGUGCUCUGAUCCAUGAGCUUAUGAGUAGUCGUGCUUGCUGAUUUCUUGAUGGUCGAGAUGAUCAACCAAAAUAGCUGGUUGAAUGGAUGGACCUAUCUCCUUUUGUCCUUUGGAAGAGGACUGGUUGGUGGACUUGCAAUUCUGCAUUUCCAACAUCUAUUGCAUGGCUCCGACCGUUAGGUAUCAAGUUGAGAAUUUGCGGCUAAUGAUUUUGCCUCUUAACUUUUGUCUCAAGUUUGAUCGCAUUUGAUUAGGUAUGAGCGACUUUUCAAGCUUAGUUGUAAUGAGGUCCAUUUUUUAAAGGGAAAAGGUAUAAACUUAACCCACAGUAUGUGAUUUGUCUAACAUUUUCCAUUAUAAUUUUGUCCCACGUGAU